GUGCUGGUGCGAUUGUGGGAGAAGUCGGGGCUAAAGCUCAUUGGAGUAGAGGAGUCAAGGCAGAGAGUGGCCAGGAGCCAAAGGAGGCACCUGUGGGGAUGUUGAACCCCUCCCUGACGGUGAUAACUCCUGGCGGUGGCAACAGGACCACCUACCUGGUGAUGCCUGAUGAGGAUACAAGAAGAAGAUGGCCAUCUGUAAACCAGGACCAGGGCCCUCACCAAGAACUGGACCAUUCUGGCACUCUGAUCUUGGAUUUCAGCCUCCAGAACUUGAAUGCUGCUAUAAAACCAGCCCAGAAGGCAUGGAGUAGCUACUUGAAGACUCUGCAAAGCAAGUGGUAGCUGGCCGACUGGUGAAGAAGGCAGAAUCUGAAGUACCCCUGAACUGAUGGCUGAAAAUUCUAUGCGCAUUCUACCCAGCUUCUUAGAAGGUCCUCACAGAAGAUGAGAUGGAUCACGUGGCCACCUUCACUGCCUCCUUCCCCACUUUACUCCUUCCAGGAGUCUAGGGACUCCUGUCUGCUGGGAUCAUUCUCCAAAAUAACCUUCCUUUACAGAAACCCUUGUCACAGGCUCUGUUUCCUGCGCGGAACCCAGACUGAGACACUAAAAUGAUACAAUAGAAUGAAGACAUGAAUGUGAAUUGCUCAGGGGUUGGUUGGAUUGUAUAUCUCUGUGAAUAGGGUUCAAAGAGAAGUUUGGGAAACACUGGACUAGAUGACCACUGGCAUCACAGCGUGUAGAAUUAGAACCUUCACAUCCCCAUCCAGCUAUAACAGGUUUAUGAGUAUCUAGGUCUUCCACGAAGAACAGUAGGAGAAGAUCCCCAAGCCUCGUCAGACCUGUUGAAUAUCCAUGAGUAUGUGUGACAUCCAGGAGAAACAGAGAACAAAACAAAACAGAACAUUUUCACAAACAUUCAGAACCCUACGAUCUUGGGAGUCUUCUG
rnacentral:lncRNA from 1 species